GCCACCUUAGCUCAUUUGGUGUAGAGCGACGCUCUUGUAAAGCGUAGGCGAAGAGUUCGAAACUCUUAGGUGGCUC
rnacentral:tRNA from 1 species